rnacentral:tRNA from 1 species
UCCUUGCUGGCUCAGAUGGUAAAGAAUUUGCUUGUGAUGCAAAAGACCCAGGUUCAAUCCCUGGGUCACGGAG